UAAGGCGCAGCAGCAGCGGCAGCCCCAGGCAGCCUGUAUGGAAUUACUGCAGUGACCUUGAGCCAGACCCUGUCAGGUGGAGGGAAGGACACUGAGAAGCCAGGACCUGGGAGGCCAGUUCAGAUGGGGCAGGAGGCAGGAGGGUACAGACUCUGGCCAGCCCGCAGCACUCAGGAGGAAAGUUGCUCGGCUGGCCGGGCAGGUCUGCCUCAGCAGUAACAGGACACAGGAGGACGCAGGGCGGGCAGGCGUGUUAACCCCUUCCUGCUGCCUCCAGGAGGGCGGGGCAUUCAGAGACAGUCCUGCCUGCUGGUGACCCCAGGAGGUGCAGAUCUGGAGCCAGGGACCCACUCUCAUCCCACAGUGGGGAUGGGUCCAGGAGCAGGGCAGAGGGGGAUCGGGGGCCGGCGGGCCAUGGGAGGACCUGGGCCGUGAGCUGACCUCACCGAGAUCCAGCACCAAGACAGAAAGGCACGGUGGAAGUGACCCCAUCGAUCAUCAGAAAUCUCACUGACAUCACCAGCAGCAAUUGGAACUUCUGAUCAAAUGAGAUCCGGAGUGUUACCACAAUGCACAGUGAUGUAAGCCCAGCUCCCAGCUGUCUGCCUCAGAGGAAGAGAAAGCACCACUACACACAUGCUGGCACAUUCAGCUGGCUUUGUGGCCUUCCCUCCCAAGCAACAGUAGCAAAAAAGAAAACAGAACACAAAACCUAGGUGAAUCUUUUAAGGACCCACAGAUCAUGAUGAAGUCUUUCCCAUGGCUGUACCCUUGCUACAGUGUGAAUGUGACCUGUCCUCACUGAAACUCAUGUUGAAAUUUGACUCCCAGUGUAAAGGUAUUGAGAGGAAACGCAACUUUUAAGAGUCACUAGGGCUCUACCCUCCAGAAGGGAUAAUGUCUUCAGGAACACGAGAGUUGUAAGCUCAUGGUGGUACCUGUGAUCCCAAUUACCUGGGAGACUAAGGCAGGAGGAUCACAAGUUGGGAGGCCAGCUUCAGCAACUUAGCAAGUUUAUAAAGGGGCUGUAAUUGCCGCUAGUGGCAGAGUGCUUGCAUAGCAUGAGCAAAGCCCUGGGUUUAAUCCCCAGUCCUGGGGGCGGGGUGAAUGGGGAACGUGAACUCUUUUGGGACUGGGUUAGUUAUUGCAGAGCAGGUUGUUAUGAGACUCCUGUGUUUUGCCCUCUUGCCCUUCAGCUUUCCACCAUGAGCUGAAGCAGUGAGGACCUUGCUAUCACCAAGUUCUCAGACUGAACAGUCUUCAGAUUGUGAGUCAAAAUAAACUUUUUUA